UGAGGAAUAUUGCGCAAUGGGCGAAAGCCUGACGCAGCAACGCCGCGUGGAUGAUGAAGGCCUUCGGGUUGUAAAAUCCUUUUCUGGGGGACGAUGAUGACGGUACCUCAGGAAUAAGUCCCGGCUAACUACGUGCCAGCAGCCGCGGUAAUACGUAGGGGCCAAACGUUGUCCGGAUUUAUUGGGCGUAAAGGGCUCGUAGGCGGUUCAACAAGUCGGUCGUGAAAACCCGGGGCUCAACCCCGGGACGCCGGUCGAAACUGUUGUGACUAGGGUCCGGUAGAGGUGAGUGGAAUUCUCGGUGUAGCGGUGGAAUGCGCAGAUAUCGAGAGGAACACCAGUAGCGAAGGCGGCUCACUGGGCCGGUACCGACGCUGAGGAGCGAAAGCAUGGGGAGCAAACAGGAUUAGAUACCCUGGUAGUCCAUGCCGUAAACGAUGAACACUAGGUGUGGCGGAUUCAUUGACAUCUGCCGUGCCGUCGCUAACGCAUUAAGUGUUCCGCCUGGGGAGUACGGCCGCAAGGCUA
rnacentral:rRNA from 1 species